rnacentral:rRNA from 1 species
GGGAUAACAGUUGGAAACGGCUGCUAAUACCGCAUAAGCGCACAGCAUCGCAUGAUGCAGUGUGAAAAACUCCGGUGGUAUAAGAUGGACCCGCGUUGGAUUAGCUAGUUGGUGAGGUAACGGCCCACCAAGGCGACGAUCCAUAGCCGACCUGAGAGGGUGACCGGCCACAUUGGGACUGAGACACGGCCCAAACUCCUACGGGAGGCAGCAGUGGGGAAUAUUGCACAAUGGGCGAAAGCCUGAUGCAGCGACGCCGCGUGAGCGAAGAAGUAUUUCGGUAUGUAAAGCUCUAUCAGCAGGGAAGAUAAUGACGGUACCUGACUAAGAAGCACCGGCUAAAUACGUGCCAGCAGCCGCGGUAAUACGUAUGGUGCAAGCGUUAUCCGGAUUUACUGGGUGUAAAGGGAGCGCAGGCGGUGCGGCAAGUCUGAUGUGAAAGCCCGGGGCUCAACCCCGGUACUGCAUUGGAAACUGUCGUACUAGAGUGUCGGAGGGGUAAGCGGAAUUCCUAGUGUAGCGGUGAAAUGCGUAGAUAUUAGGAGGAACACCAGUGGCGAAGGCGGCUUACUGGACGAUAACUGACGCUGAGGCUCGAAAGCGUGGGGAGCAAACAGGAUUAGAUACCCUGGUAGUCCACGCCGUAAACGACGAAAACUAGGUGUUGGGAAGCAUUGCUUCUCGGUGCCGUCG